rnacentral:lncRNA from 1 species
CCCCAUAUGUCCUGCCCACCAUGUGAUAUCACAAUGCCCCGCCCAUAUGCUCUGCCAUAUGGGCCAACGCCAGUCUUCACAAAGUGUCUUUUAUCUGAAAAGACAGUGUGUUUACAUUAAAAAGCCUACAGGCACAGGCUAUAGACACCAUAACCAAUAGAUUAAGCUGUAGUGCUUCUGGUGACUAUAGUAUCCAUUUAAUGUGAGGUAAAUUAGAGAUUAGUGCCACUAAUAAUAUAUUGGAUUGCCUACUUACCACCAGAUGAGGACAAGAGGCUGAUGAUGGGCUCAGUCUGGC